rnacentral:rRNA from 1 species
UACGAAGGGUGCAAGCGUUACUCGGAAUUACUGGGCGUAAAGCGUGCGUAGGUGGUUUGUUAAGUCUGUUGUGAAAGCCCCGGGCUCAACCUGGGAAUGGCAAUGGAUACUGGCAGGCUAGAGUGCGGUAGAGGGUAGUGGAAUUCCCGGUGUAGCGGUGAAAUGCGUAGAGAUCGGGAGGAACACCAGUGGCGAAGGCGGCUACCUGGACCAGCACUGACACUGAGGCACGAAAGCCGUGGGGAGCAAACAGG